CUUCCUCAUAGCAGCUAGAGUCAUUUUUGGAAACAUUAAAUAUGUCCAGAAAAAUGUCCAAUUAUUCAUACAAUGAAAAGCCAUUUCAAUAUCCAUUAAGGAAUACAUGAUUUAAACCAUUGAGGCUCAGGCUGAGGUUUACAUUGUUCUUUGCAAAGAAGAGGAAGCUUUUCAAGGUUUUCAGUCCUUCUUCCACAUUUUGCCUAACAAACAGCAACAUAGUGAUCUGGCAAGAAAACACAAGUGCAAGUCACUAUUCUUAUUUAACACAUCAUUUAACAAUUUACAUUGAUUAAUAUGUAUG